rnacentral:rRNA from 1 species
GAUGUCAAGUUGGAAGUGAAAUCCUAUGGCUUAACCAUAGAACUGCUUCCAAAACUGGCAACCUAGAGUGAGGGAGAGGCAGAUGGAACUAGUGGUGUAGGGGUAAAAUCCGUAGAUAUCACUAAGAAUACCGAUUGCGAAGGCGAUCUGCUGGAACUCUACUGACGCUGAGGCAUGAAAGCGUGGGGAGCAAACAGGAUUAGAUACCCUGGUAGUCCACGCCCUAAACGAUGUACACUAGUUGUUGGAGUGCUAGUCACUUCAGUAAUGCAGCUAACGCAUUAAGUGUACCGCCUGGGGAGUACGGUCGCUAGAUUAAAACUCAAAGGAAUAGACGGGGACCCGCACAAGCGGUGGAGCAUGUGGUUUAAUUCGAAGAUACACGAAGAACCUUACCUAGCCUUGAUAUCCUUGGAAUCUCUCAGAGAUGAGAGAGUGCUAGUUUACUAGAGCCAAGUGACAGGUGCUGCACGGCUGUCGUCAGCUCGUGUCGUGAGAUGUUGGGUUAAGUCCCGCAACGAGCGCAACCCUCGUCCUUAGUUGCUAACAGUUCGGCUGAGCACUCUAAGGAGACUGCCUUCGUAAGGAGGAGGAAGGUGAGGACGACGUCAAGUCAUCAUGGCCCUUAUGGCUAGGGCUACACACGUGCUACAAUGGGGGGGACAA